rnacentral:pre_miRNA from 1 species
CACUUACUCCCUCCAUUCUAAAUUACUUGUCGCAGGUAUGGAUGUAUCUAGAUUAUUUUAGUUCUAGAUACAUCCAUUUCCGUGACAAGUAAUUUGGAACGGAGGGAGUACAUG